rnacentral:rRNA from 1 species
GGGUCAGUAGGUUGGUCGUGCCACCGGUACGUACUGGUCUCACUGAUUCCUCCUUCCUGAAGAACCGUAAUGCCAUUAAUUUGGUGUUGCGGGGAAACAGGACUGUUACUUUGAAAAAAUUAGAGUGUUUGAAGCAAGCUAACGCUUGAAUACAUUAGCAUGGAAUAAUGAAAUAGGACGAUCGAUCCUAUUUUGCUGGUUUCUAGGAUUGACGUA